GGUUAAGUGACUAAGCGUACACGGUGGAUGCCUUGGCAGUCAGAGGCGAUGAAGGACGUAUUAACUUGCGAUAAGCCCAGAUUAGGUAGUAAAAACCAUUUGAGUCUGGGAUUUCCGAAUGGGGAAACCC
rnacentral:rRNA from 1 species